GAAGGUUCCCCCCGCCCCGCCGCCCCCCAGGCAGUGGGGCCAGGAUUUGGUAGCUGGUCUGAAAGAAAACCCUUGAGUGCAUCCUUUGUCCUGGGACUGUGCCAGUGGUAACUGUCACUCAACAGCACAGAG
rnacentral:snoRNA from 1 species